rnacentral:snRNA from 1 species
CUACGGUCGCGGCGGAGCCGACCAAUCAGAGGCCCGAAAUGUCUACGGUGAGCGUAGACAUUGCCCUCCCCAGCCGCUCGCCCGUGCGAAUUCCCCAAAUGUGGGAAUCUCAACUGCAUAAUUUGUGGUAGUGGGGGACUGCGUUCGCGCUCUCCCCUG